AGCGAACGCUGGCGGCAGGCCUAACACAUGCAAGUCGAACGAAGUCUUCGGACUUAGUGGCGGACGGGUGAGUAACACGUGGGAACGUGCCUUUAGGUUCGGAAUAACUCAGGGAAACUUGUGCUAAUACCGAAUGUGCCCUUCGGGGGAAAGGUUUAUCGCCUUUAGAGCGGCCCGCGUCUGAUUAGCUAGGUGGUGAGGUAAAGGCUAACCAAAGCGACGAUCAGUAGCUGGUCUGAGAGGAUGAUCAGCCACAUUGGGACUGAGACACGGGCCAAAGUCCUACGGGAGGCAGCAGUGGGGAAUAUUGCGCAAUGGGCGAAAGCCUGACGCAGCCAUGCCGCGUGAAUGAUGAAGGUAUUAGGAUGGUAAAAUUCUUUCACCGGGGACGAUAAUGACGGUACCCGGAGAAGAAGCCCCGGCUAACUUCGUGCCAGCCGCCGCCGUAACAC
rnacentral:rRNA from 1 species